CCUACGGGAGGCAGCAGUGAGGAAUAUUGGUCAAUGGACGAGAGUCUGAACCAGCCAAGUAGCGUGCAGGAUGACGGCCCUAUGGGUUGUAAACUGCUUUUAUAAGGGAAUAAAGUGAGUCUCGUGAGACUUUUUGCAUGUACCUUAUGAAUAAGGACCGGCUAAUUCCGUGCCAGCAGCCGCGGUAAUACGGAAGGUCCGGGCGUUAUCCGGAUUUAUUGGGUUUAAAGGGAGCGUAGGCCGGAGAUUAAGCGUGUUGUGAAAUGUAGACGCUCAACGUCUGCACUGCAGCGCGAACUGGUUUCCUUGAGUACGCACAAAGUGGGCGGAAUUCGUGGUGUAGCGGUGAAAUGCUUAGAUAUCACGAAGAACUCCGAUUGCGAAGGCAGCUCACUGGAGCGCAACUGACGCUGAAGCUCGAAAGUGCGGGUAUCGAACAGGAUUAGAUACCCUGGUAGUCCGCACGGUAAACGAUGGAUGCCCGCUGUUGGUCUGAAUAGGUCAGCGGCCAAGCGAAAGCAUUAAGCAUCCCACCUGGGGAGUACGCCGGCAACGGUGCAACUCAAAGGAAUUGACGGA
rnacentral:rRNA from 1 species